GUCCAGACUCCUACGGGAGGCAGCCGUGGGGGAUAUUGCACAAUGGGGGAACCCCUGAUGCAGCGCCUCCUCGUGGGCGCAGCAGUAUUUCGGUCUGUCCAGCCCUAUCAUCCUGGAAGAAGCCCUGCCGGUACCUUCUUCCGAAGCACCUUCUCCAUACGUGCCCUCCUCCGCGGUCCUCCUUAUGGUGCCCUCGUUAUCCGGAUUUCCUUGGCGUAAAGCGCUCGUAGGCGGGAUGUCAAGUCAAGGGGGAAAUCCCCGCGGUAAACGUGGGAACUGCCUUUGAAACUGGCAAACUGGAGUGUGUGAGAGGAGAGUGGAAUUCCAGGUGUAGGAGGGAAAUCCGUAGAUAGAGGGAGGAACAUCAGUGGCGAAGGCGACUAUCUGGCACAUAACUGACGCUGAGGAGCGAAAGCGUGGGUAGCAAACAGGAUUAGAUACCCGAGUACU
rnacentral:rRNA from 1 species